rnacentral:rRNA from 1 species
CCUACGGGAGGCAGCAGUAGGGAAUAUUGCGCAAUGGGGGAAACCCUGAAGCAGCAACGCCGCGUGGAGGAUGAAGGUUUUCGGAUUGUAAACUCCUUUUGUUAGAGAAGAUAAUGACGGUAUCUAACGAAUAAGCACCGGCUAAGUCCCUGCCAGCAGCCGCGGUAAUAAGGAGGGUGCAAGCGUUACUCGGAAUCACUGGGCGUAAAGAGCGCGUAGGCGGGAUAGCAAGUCAGUUGUGAAAUCCUAUGGCUUAACCAUAGAACUGCAUUUGAAACUGUUAUUCUAGAGUAUGGGAGAGGUAGGUGGAAUUCUUGGUGGAGGGGUAAAAUCCGUAGAGAUCAAGAGGAAUAC